rnacentral:rRNA from 1 species
UACGUAGGGUGCAAGCGUUAAUCGGAAUUACUGGGCGUAAAGCGUGCGCAGGCGGUUUUGUAAGUCUGUCGUGAAAUCCCCGGGCUCAACCUGGGAAUGGCGAUGGAGACUGCAAGGCUAGAAUCUGGCAGAGGGGGGGUAGAAUUCCACGUGUAGCAGUGAAAUGCGUAGAUAUGUGGAGGAACACCGAUGGCGAAGGCAGCCCCCUGGGCUAAGAUUGACGCUCAUGCACGAAAGCGUGGGGAGCAAACAGG